AUUGAACGCUGGCGGUGUGCUUAACACAUGCAAGUCGAUCGGUAACAGGUGUAGCAAUACAUGCUGACGAGGGGCGGACGGGUGAGGAACGCUUGGGAAUCUGCCUAUCAGCGGGGGACAACCCGGGGAAACCCGGGCUAAUACCGCAUACGCUCUACGGAGGAAAGCCGGGGACCGCAAGGCCUGGCACUGAUAGAUGAGCCCAAGUCGGAUUAGCUAGUUGGCGGGGUAACGGCCCACCAAGGCGACGCUCCGUAGCUGGUCUGAGAGGACGAUCAGCCACACCGGAACUGAGACACGGUCCGGACUCCUACGGGAGGCAGCAGUGGGGAAUAUUGGACAAUGGGCGAAAGCCUGAUCCAGCGACGCCGCGUGGGUGAAGAAGGCCUGCGGGUUGUAAAGCCCUUUCGGUAGGGACGAAAGCUCUCGACCUAACACGUCGGGAGGUUGACUUAACCUACAAAAGAAGCACCGGCUAACUCUGUGCCAGCAGCCGCCGUAAUAC
rnacentral:rRNA from 1 species